rnacentral:lncRNA from 1 species
CUAGCACCUCACCAGGCUCUGAAAAAGACUUCAUUGAUGACGUGUUCCAUCUAUUCCAGGGGACAGCAGAGGAACUUCAUCGAUUCCACUCCUUCAUCAAUACAAGCAGUAAACAUCUGAAAUUCACCCUCACCUUUCAUGUGCAUGAAACAAGUUAUCUGGACAUUUUGAUUAAGAGGGAGAAGGGUGGAUUAAGCACAGACCUAUACAGGAAGCCGACGGACAGGAAUUCCCUGUUACGCGGAGACAACUUCCACCCUACACCCCUAAUAAAACAAUUGGAACCAGAUCAUGACUACAGCUCAGUUACUAAGUCUUUAACCACACUGUGUUGUUACACUGUCAGCAGAUGGACUAGAUGCCUCUUAGGCCGCCCAUUGUGACUCCAUCAAGAAUUCAGCAGAACAAGUUUGUAUGAAGUUGUCCACAUGGCUGGGAGAACCUAUUCAAGUAAGUAAAUAGAUUUUGAAAAUGUAAAAAAACAACGAUGUAUUAUUAGCUAACUAGCUGCAGUGCAGGCUAACUCAAAUGAGCUGCUAAAUGAGCUAGCUAUCUAGCCAACUACACA